rnacentral:rRNA from 1 species
GACGAACGCUGGCGGCGUGCUUAACACAUGCAAGUCGAACGGAAAGGCCCUGCUUUUGUGGGGUGCUCGAGUGGCGAACGGGUGAGUAACACGUGAGUAACCUGCCCUUGACUUUGGGAUAACUUCAGGAAACUGGGGCUAAUACCGGAUAGGAGCUCCUGCUGCAUGGUGGGGGUUGGAAAGUUUCGGCGGUUGGGGAUGGACUCGCGGCUUAUCAGCUUGUUGGUGGGGUAGUGGCUUACCAAGGCUUUGACGGGUAGCCGGCCUGAGAGGGUGACCGGCCAAAUUGGGACUGAGAUACGGCCCAGACUCCUACGGGAGGCAGCAGUGGGGAAUAUUGCACGAUGGGCGGAAGCCUGAUGCAGCAACGCCGCGUGCGGGAUGACGGCCUUCGGGUUGGAAACCGCUUUCGCCUGUGACGAAGCGUGAGUGACGGUAAUGGGUGAAGAAGCACCGGCUAACUACGUG